rnacentral:rRNA from 1 species
CUACGGGGUGCUGCAGUAAGGAAUAUUGCGCAAUGGAGGCAACUCUGACGCAGCCAUGCCGCGUGCAGGACUGAAGGCCUUAUGGGUCGUAAACUGCUUUUAUUUAGGAAUAAACUCUUGUACGUGUACGAGACUGAAGGUACUAAAUGAAUAAGCACCGGCUAACUCCGUGCCAGCAGCCGCGGUAAUACGGAGGGUGCAGGCGUUAUCCGGAUUUAUUGGGUUUAAAGGGUGCGCAGGCGGACUAUUAAGUCAGAGGUGAAAUCCCGGAGCUCAACUUCGGAACUGCCUUUGAUACUGGUAGUCUUGAAUACGGUUGAAGUAGGCGGAAUGUAGCAUGUAGCGGUGAAAUGCAUAGAGAUGCUACAGAACACCGAUCGCGAAGGCAGCUUACUAAGCCGAUAUUGACGCUCAGGCACGAAAGCGUGGGGAGCGAACAGGAUUAGAUACCCCCGUAGUC